GUCCACGCUGUAAACGAUGGGUGCUAGGUGUCACGGGCUUUGACCCCUGUGGUGCCGUAGCUAACGCAUUAAGCACCCCGCCUGGGAAGUACGGUCGCAAGACUAAAACUCAAAGGAAUUGACGGGGGCCCGCACAAGCGGUGGAGCAUGUGGUUUAAUUCGACGCAACGCGAAGAACCUUACCUGGGCUAGAAAACGUAGGAAUCCUGCCGAAAGGCGGGCGUGCUCUUCGGAGAACCUAUGGUUAGGUGCUGCAUGGCUGUCGU
rnacentral:rRNA from 1 species